AUAGUAUUAAUGGGGCUGGAGGAGUGUUGGAGAAGCAGGAAUCGUACUGCAUGGAGUUGAGUGGCACUUAGGCUCUUGAUUAAUAAAGACAAGGCAGCCAGCCCUUCCACAAAAAAGAAAUAAUUUCAUUUGCAGUGGCUGCCUCUUUAAAGGGGUGAACGCCGAAAGCUGGGGUUUUGAACAGUGUUUCGUGGCUGAGCCUGCACAUGCCACGUUGUCCAACGUCCAUGGGGAGACGCUUGAAGAACCCUCUGACCCGUUGCCGACGCAAAAACCAGUUGUGUGUGUGUGUGUGGGACAGAGAGGGAUGGGGAGGGAAGGAUAAAGAGAGAAUGAAAAAGAAAACAAACGCAGACCCGCUCUUCUAAUGAGACAGCUCAGAUUUUUCCCAUCUGGACUUUCCCCUCAGUUUCCCGGAUGUCCUUGAGAAUAAUUUCACUUUUCCCACAUCAUAUGUAAAAUCAGACGUGUGGGUGUGCACCCCUGGGCACGCACCAGCCUUUCCGUCCAGCUCACUUGUAUAAAUGAUUGCACGAUGGGCUGAAUUUUAACGCUCUUGGACAGCCAGAUGAAUUAAAUGAGCCCUUUUCUGCUGAUUCCACUUGGCUUAGCUCAUUUUAUUUUGCUUGCUUUCUUGUUUGGGUGUCGGAUGUCCCAGCCCUCUCAUGUGCACAUACAUUUGGUUUCUGACUAAUAUGAGGUCUCCGUCAGAGAAACAGCCUUUGUCGUUUCAAAUCCAGCAGGUCUUAGACUCGGGUCGUGACUCAGCUACCACAAACUGUAUGCAGAGGAGACCACAAAUUCCUCCGGUCCAUGAUUUGAAAGGUUACCUGGUCUUCUCCUGCUCUUGUUCCACGGAUAACAAGGCAAUGCUCAGCUGCCUGUGAUUCCCAGGAAGACACUUUCCCUCUCAAAUGCGUGUGCUGAAGCCACUGUGCCCCCUUCUGAAUCCCCCAUCCUUUCCUCCGUCCUCCUCCGAGCUUUCUUGGCUAAUGGAACUGAAUGGCAUUCAGAGGCGUGGAGUCAUGGUACGAAGAAAAGAGGAUCCCCUAAAAAGGGGGGAGGGGGAAUAAAAACAAGCCUGCAAGAGAAGGAGUCAAGUGUGGAGAGCCUGAGAGUGUGGAUCUCCCCUUAUCUGUCUCCUUCUCCCACUCUGCCUCGUGCUGAAUCUGCUGUCUUAUCUGUUUCUCAUUUUCGGUAUGUGAUUUUGUUGGCACUAACAGGGAUUUUUUUCUCCUCUCAUUCUGGAAGACAUGCCAAGGAGUGCACAGAAAGCUCGUAUGACAAUCUUUUAAUGGUAUAUGUGAAAGCAUGAGGAUUUUAAAAGGAAGAAGGAACAUACUUGCAAUUAAAAUCACAUGCUCCAUCCUGUAAAUAGACUUUCACUGAAAGAGUCACAUCUCAGGCACAUGCUGCAACAACUCCUGCACAUGGCUCUAGCUGUCACGAAACUACUUUCUGGUAAAAUAUUUACA
rnacentral:lncRNA from 1 species